rnacentral:rRNA from 1 species
UACAGGGGGGGCAAGCGUUGUUCGGAAUUACUGGGCGUAAAGGGUUUGUAGGUGGCUUGUUAAGUCAGACGUGAAAUCCCUCAGCUUAACUGGGGAACUGCGUCUGAUACUGAUGAGCUUGAGUGCAGGAGAGGAACGCGGAAUUCCAGGUGUAGCGGUGAAAUGCGUAGAUAUCUGGAGGAACACCAACGGCGAAGGCAGCUCUCUGGGACGUUACUGACGCUGAGACGCGAAAGCGUGGGGAGCAAACAGG